CUAAGAGCAUAUGGUGGAUGGCAAGACAGAACGUGCCGAUGAAGGACGUAGUAACCUGCGAUAAGCUUCGGGGAGGUGGUAAACAACCUUUGAUCCGGAGAUUUCCGAAUGGGGAAACCCAAUACGAGUAAUGUCGUAUUACCCUUUGUGAGUAAUUGCAUAGGGUGGGCACCUGGUGAAGUGAAACAUCUCAGUAACCAGAGGAAAAGAAAAAGAAAUUUUCGCUUUACGUUUUCACACACAAGCACGUUGUGUGGAAACGAAAAGCGAAUCUAUUCCCUAAGUAGCGGCGAGCGAAAAGGGAUCAGCCCAAACCUCUACUGUGAAGUUAUUGCGAGCAUGGAGAUACUUGUAUCUGUGUGCGAGCGGUGACGAAAGCUGGAAGGCGUUGCAGUGGAAGGUGUUGUAAGGUAUCGCGUCCGUCUUCUUCCAAAGGCGGGUGAUGAAAUUUGUAUGUUGUAUAGCAAAAUCUGUUGGAAAGCAGAGCCAAAGAAGGUGAUAGCCCUGUACGCAAAAUGCAUUCAUACCAUCAUGUCGAUAUACCUUGAGUACUACGGGACUCGUGAAAUCCUGUAGGAAUCAGCCGGGACUAUCUGGCAAGGCUAAAUACACGUUCUGAUCGAUAGUGAACAAGUACCGUGAGGGAAAGCUGAAAAGCACCCCGGGAGGGGAAUGAAAUAGUAUCUGAAACCGUAUGCUUACAAGGAGUUAGAGUCCUGCCUUUGGCGGGAUGAUAGCGUUCCUAUUGAAGAAUGAGCCAACGAGUGUGCUGCACGUCGCUGCUUAAGUCCUCCGGGACGAAGGCAAAGUGAAAGCGAGCGUUAACCCGCGUGAUCUAUCUUUAUACUUGGUCCAAGGCUGCAGAGUUCUGCUAGCCGGAUCGAGUAUAAAAAUAGAGGGUGGCGUGCACACGACCCGAAACCGGACGACCUAUCCAUGGCCAGGUUGAAGCAAGUGUAAUAGCUUGUGGAGGACCGAACCCUCGCGCUGUGCAAAACGCUGGGAUGAGCUGUGGAUAGCGGAGAAAUUCCAAUCGAGUUCGGUAAUAGCUGGUUCUCCCCGAGAUAGCUUUAGGGCUAGCGUCGGUUAAUAACAUAUUGGGGGUAGAGCACUGAAUGGGUUUUGCGCCUUCGGGUAGCGGACCUAACCAAACUCCGAAUACCAAUAUGUGUUCCCGGCAGUCAGACUAUGGGGGCUAAGCUCCAUUAGUCGAAAGGGAAACAGCCCAGAUCUCAAGCUAAGGUCCCAAAAUCGUCAUUAAGUGUAAAACGUGGUGAGGAGACACAUACAACCAGGAGGUUGGCUUAGAAGCAGCCAUCCUUUAAAGAUAGCGUAACAGCUCACUGGUCAAGUUUCCUUGCGCGGAAAAUGUACCGGGGCUAAAUGACGUACCGAAGCUGAGGGCUUCGAUGCUUUUGCAUCGGAGCGGUAGGGGAGCAUUCGUAUUGCGCUGAAGCUGGUGGGGUGACCCCUGGUGGAGCGAUGCGAAGGGAGAAUGUUGGCAUGAGUAGCAAAAAGACAGGUGAGAAUCCUGUCCGCCGUAAACCCAAGGUUUCCUGGGCAACGAGAAUCGUCCCAGGGUUAGUCGGGAGCUAAGGCGAGGCCGAAAGGCGUAGUCGAUGCACAGCAGGUUAAUAUUCCUGCACUCUCUAUUACACUGAUGUAGUGACACUUACUGAAAUUUCCCGCGUCCUAUGGCUAUGACGUUGGGGGCAUGUUGGCGUCUGGUAGGCAAAUCCGCCAGACUGAGGUUCGACCUCAAGCCCGUGUGUCAGCUCAAGUUCAACUUACGGGUUGGAUAAGGGGAAAGGACAGUGAGUCAAGAAAAGCUGCUAGGGUUAAUGUAAUAGGGACCCGUACCGCAAACCGACACAGGUGGGUGGGUGCGUAAUGUACCAAGGCGUACGAGAGAACCAUUGUUUAGGAACUCGGCAAAAUAGCGGCCGUAACUUCGGGAUAAGGCCUGGUUGCAUCCGGGAGGAUGUGACCCGCAGCGAAAGACUCCAAGCGACUGUUUAUCAAAAACACAGGUCCCUGCUAAACCGCAAGGUGAUGUAUAGGGGCUGAUGCCUGGCCAGUGUCCGAACGUUAAGGAAGGGGGUUAGUUUCUUCGGAAAUGAAGCCUUCGACUGAAGCGCGGAUGAACGCCGGCGAUAACUAUAAUCGUCCUAAGGUAGCGAAAUUCCUUGACGGGUAAGUUCCGUCCUGCACGAAUGGCAUAACGAUUUGGAGACUCUCUCAACAAUGGACUCGGCGAAAUUGCAAUGUGAGUGAAGAUGCUCACUACUCGCGGCAAGACGAAAAGACCCCGUGAAGCUUUACUAUAGCUUGAUCUUGGGUUCAUGUUUCACAUGUUCAGUAUAGGUGGGAGCCUUCGGGCGCCAGUGAGAUACCACCCUUGUGUUGUGUGAAUUCUAACCAGGCGCCAUGAAUCUGGUGUCAGGGACAGGAUCUGGUGGGUAGUUUACCUGGGGCGGGUGCCUCCCAAAAUGUAACGGAGGCGUUUACAAAGGUUGGCUUAGCGCGGAUGGAAAUCGCGCUGGACGUGCAAACGCAGAAGCCAGCUUUACUGCGAGACCUACCAGUCGAGCAGUUGCGAAAGCAGAAGUUAGUGAUCCGACCGUACGAAAUAGGACGGCGGAAGCUCAUCGGAUAAAAGCUACUCCGGGGAUAACAGGCUAGUCUCCCCCAAGCGUCCACAGCGACGGGGAGGUUCGGCACCUCGAUGUCGGCUCAUCGCAUCCUGGGGCUGGAGAAGGUCCCAAGGGUUAGGCUGUUCGCCUAUUAAAGCGGUACGCGAGCUGGGUUCAGAACGUCGUGAGACAGUUCGGUCUCCUAUCUGCCGUGGGCGUCGAAGAUUGAUGGAACCCAUUCCUAGUACGAGAGGACCGGAAUGGACGAACCUCUAGUGUAUCGGUUGUUCUGCCAAGAGCAUCGCCGAGUAGCUACGUUCGGUACGGAUAAGCGCUGAAAGCAUCUAAGUGCGAAGCCGUUCCAAAGAUAAGUCUUCAUUUGAGACCCCUCAGAGACUAUGAGGUUGAUAGGCUGCAAGUGUAAGCACAGUAAUGUGUUCAGCUGAGCAGUACUAAUAGGUCGAGCUCUACAACC
rnacentral:rRNA from 1 species